rnacentral:lncRNA from 1 species
GCUGCUGUGAGGUCUGUAGUUACAAUCCAAGCAGAGAGCUCAGACUGACCCGCAACACCCUCGCGUGGCAGGCUGAGAGGGAAGCCAGGAGGCUAUCGCCCACACUCAGAAAAGGACACAAACAGGAGAGGAGCUCAUUCCCUCACUGCCUGCAUUGCAGCUUAUGUAACCUGAGCCAGCGUGAACAGGAGCAAGCCCUAGCUGCUGUGUUAGCUGGCAUCCUGUGGGCUGCAGGCACAGCUCAGAAAGCCAUCGUCUGCUUUGUCACCAAAGACAUCCAUAGCACUUCAACUCUCGACUGCUCCAGAGACAAUUUCAUUGAGAGGGUAAGUGCGCUCCAGCCAUUGUGUUGGCUAAAGAGCCAGUGACGCUUGAGUGUGAUCAUGGUCACGGAAGCACAGCCCCCACUGAGGACCUGAAUCAGCCAGCCAUACCUUCUUCAGAGGGUGCAAGCACCAAGGGGCCGUAAGGGAUUGGGGCAGUGAAAAUGAAGAAUGUCUCCUAAAGUUCCCUUUAAUUGAGAAUAUACUGCACUUAAGCUGGUAGGCUUCGGUGUGUUCUAGUGGUAACAAGUGCUGCUAAGCCUUGGGUUUGAUAUGCUCCACCAAAAAAAGG